rnacentral:rRNA from 1 species
AGCUGAGUUUGAUCCUGGCUCAGGAUGAACGCUAGCGGCAGGCUUAACACAUGCAAGUCGAGGGGUAUAGUUCUUCGGAAUUAGAGACCGGCGCACGGGUGCGUAACGCGUAUGCAAUCUACCUUUUGCAGAGGGAUAGCCCAGAGAAAUUUGGAUUAAUACCUCAUAGUAUAGUGAUACCGCAUGGUACUGCUAUUAAAGUCACAACGGCAAAGAUGAGCAUGCGUCCCAUUAGCUAGUUGGUAAGGUAACGGCUUACCAAGGCUACGAUGGGUAGGGGUCCUGAGAGGGA